rnacentral:lncRNA from 1 species
CACAUCCUCCAAGAUCCUAGAAUGGCUAAAAUCUGUAAAGUGCUGAGAGUCUUCAGAGAGUUAAAUAAGAAUCCAGAGAAACAAGGUUAACGUUCUGAGGACCUCGUUAUUUGCCAAGAACAAGCACAGGGGUGUCACCUCCUCCGUGCAGCCUUCAGUAACCCCACCACCCACCAGGAACAGUAGGAGCUCCUGUACUCUCAUUAGAUUCUUGUACCUACUUGUCACAUUGUAACAUGACUGCCUGUUUGAGUGCCUGUCUCCCUAGAUGAUCUUUUGGGGCAGGGACCAUGCCUCAUUCAUCUUUGUAUCUCCAG